AUUGGGAUUCCCCAUUUGAAGGCACUGUUUUUCUGGAGUCCUUAAUAUAAGACGUUGGAACGAUUUCUUUAACUCCGUCGUCCAAGUAUUUAACGUAGGCAAACAUUUUUGCUUAAUUGAUCGUUUGAUGUGGUUGCCGUGUGGGUCAUCCAGAGCCCUAUAAUAGAAAUUCUACAUAAAGAAGCAGGUGCCACCCCACUCCCCGGAACGUUCCUUGCUCGCCUACACCAAGACCUGGACAACCCAGGUGGACUUGGGGCCUUUAGCAUUGCCGGAGAGGAGGAGAGGAUCAGGAGGGGACACGGAAUUCUGGAGCGCCCCCGAGAAGAGAUGUGGGCCAGAUUUGUCAGAGAUGUCCUCAAACAUUACAUCUGCAUGUCUGCGGAUAGCAGUUAAUGGAUCAGCACCAGAGUAUAAUACAACAGUAACUGAUUGCAUUUUAUCGAAGUGCUUUGUUUUCAGGGUAGAUUUACUUUACCCGAGGGUGUCCAUUUCUGGCUAUUUCUGACAACUACUUCUGAGUAAAAUAUUGUACUAUUUAGUAUGCAGAACCUGCAUUCUUAAUGCAGCUAACGCGAGCUUGCAGCUAACGCUAGCAUGCCUCGAACGUUAGCUUGUUUAACUCAGCGGCCAAGUAUUUUGCUUGCCGCUGACUAGCUAAAUGGUUCUCCAACUAGCAAUUGCUAGUUGGAGAACCAUUACCUUAACGCUACCAUUUUAGCCAAAACUCAUAACAAAUGUAACUAGCAUAUCUUAGUUGGUCAUUUAGGCAAACAUUUUUUUCUGUGCAAAAUGAAUAUUGCCAUACAGGAAU